rnacentral:rRNA from 1 species
GUAGGUGGCAAGCGUUGUCCGGAAUUAUUGGGCGUAAAGCGCGCGCAGGCGGGGUCCUUUAAGUCUGAUGUGAAAGCCCACGGGCUCAACCGUGGAGGGUCAUUGGAAACUGGGGGACUUGAGUACAGAAGAGGAAAGCGGAAUUCCAAGUGUAGCGGUGAAAUGCGUAGAGAUUUGGAGGAACACCAGUGGCGAAGGCGGCUUUCUGGUCUGUAACUGACGCUGAGGCGCGAAAGCGUGGGGAGCAAACAGGAUUAGAUACCCUGGUAGUCUACGCCGUAAACGAUGAGUGCUAAGUGUUAGGGGGUUUCCGCCCCUUAGUGCUGCAGCUAACGCAUUAAGCACUCCGCCUGGGGAGUACGGCCGCAAAGGCUG